ACUACAACCGAGCAGACACUGCUUUCUGACACCAGAGCUACAGUGAUGAAAUGACCAACCCUCCCUCCCCACGUGGAGCCUACAUUCUAGUCUGAAUUCAUCUUGACCAACCACCUGGAGUGAAAGUGAAGUUCUGAGGACUUAGGGAUUCAAGUUUCUUAUUCUUACAACAUGAUUGUUUAUAUGUGAAGGACAUCUUGCGAUUGCCU
rnacentral:lncRNA from 1 species